rnacentral:tRNA from 1 species
GGUGGCUCAGUGGUUGAGUGCUUGCCUAGAAUGCAUGAGGCCCUGGGUUCGAUUCCUCAGCACCA